AAGUGUUAUAGAUCUUUCAGAAAUUUGUGUAGCAGAUUUUCUGGUUUCUACCAGACAGACCCC
rnacentral:snRNA from 1 species